GGGGUGUAGCUCAGCUGGGAGAGCAUCUGGUUCGCAAUCAGAAGGCCGCCGGUUCGAUCCCGGCCACCUCC
rnacentral:tRNA from 1 species